rnacentral:rRNA from 1 species
UACAGAGGGUGCGAGCGUUAUUCGGAAUUACUGGGCGUAAAGCGCGCGUAGGCGGCUUUGCAAGUCGGGUGUGAAAUCCCCAGGCUUAACCUGGGAACUGCAUUCGAGACUGCAUUGCUAGAGUAUGGGAGAGGGAAGUGGAAUUUCCGGUGUAGCGGUGAAAUGCGUAGAUAUCGGAAGGAACAUCAGUGGCGAAAGCGACUUCCUGGACCAAAACUGACGCUCAUGUGCGAAAGCGUGGGGAGCAAACAGG